UACAGAGGUCUCAAGCGUUGUUCGGAUUCAUUGGGCGUAAAGAGCUCGUAGGCGGCUUGUUGCGUCGACUGUGAAAACCCGUGGCUCAACCAUGUGGUCUGCAGUCGAUACGGGCAGGCUAGAAUUCGGUAGGGGAGACUGGAAUUCCUGGUGUAGCGGUGAAAUGCGCAGAUAUCAGGAGGAACACCGGUGGCGAAGGCGGGUCUCUGGACAGUUCCUGACACUGAGACACGAAGGCCAGGGGAGCAAACGGG
rnacentral:rRNA from 1 species